rnacentral:rRNA from 1 species
AGUGAACGCUGGCGGUAGGCCUAACACAUGCAAGUCGAACGGCAGCACAGUAAGAGCUUGCUCUUACGGGUGGCGAGUGGCGGACGGGUGAGGAAUACAUCGGAAUCUACUUUUUCGUGGGGGAUAACGUAGGGAAACUUACGCUAAUACCGCAUACGACCUACGGGUGAAAGCAGGGGAUCUUCGGACCUUGUGCGAUUGAAUGAGCCGAUGUCGGAUUAGCUAGUUGGCGGGGUAAAGGCCCACCAAGGCGACGAUCCGUAGCUGGUCUGAGAGGAUGAUCAGCCACACUGGAACUGAGACACGGUCCAGACUCCUACGGGAGGCAGCAGUGGGGAAUAUUGGACAAUGGGCGCAAGCCUGAUCCAGCCAUACCGCGUGGGUGAAGAAGGCCUUCGGGUUGUAAAGCCCUUUUGUUGGGAAAGAAAAGCAGCAGGUUAAUACCCCGCUGUUCUGACGGUACCCAACGAAUAAGCACCGGCUAACUUCGUG